rnacentral:misc_RNA from 1 species
AAAAAAAAAAAAAAGAAUUAUGGCAUAGCCAAAAGGUUCUCUGUAACAGAAUGAGACAUUCAAGUCCAAAGCUGAUUCAUUGAACUUUCACAUCGUAUUCAAAGCCUUUCUAUUGAGCAAGAAUGGUGGAGAAUAACAAGACGUUGCCUACCUUCACUUAUCACCUGGUCAAGGAAGCACGGUAUAAAAUACAAAUUAGAAGCUUUGAAGAACCUUCAAUAGCCAUCUGUGUGUUGUCAUAAUGGUUUGUAGUUUAUGUUCUACCAGAAGAACAUCAUGCCGAACAACUUACUCUUUCAGAUGCUUAAGAAACUCAAUCUAUCAUCUUCAAAGAGAUCCUCAUCUUAAAACCUAAAUAGAUUAAAAGAUGAACCCAUAGGAUGUAAUAUCGUAAGCCAGAGACUGUCACCGUCACCAUGUCUUGCCUCUGACUCCCUUUUCCUUCCCAAGGAUUUGAUAAACUCAGACCAUGGUUUCUUCACGAAAGACAUACUUCAUGCAGCUUGGGCUGAAGCCUCUGUACAAAUCUGCUAGCCCUUCUUUCUCAACAAUUCUUGCACGAGCAUGAAGUAUGUUCUGGUACUGACUCCCAUUGAGAACCCCUGCCUGUAUCUGCUUUCAAGCCACCUCAAGCGGGAAAGUUGCUGUACUUGAGAUUGCGCCAGCUGCCGAUCCAAUCAGUAGAGUCAUGGCAUUUUCAAUUUCUUCCUUCUUGAAAUCCUUUUUGUAAGGUGUCUUCAAUGUAUCAUAGGCAAAGUAAUUGGCAGCAGCAUAU